CAAGGAUAAAAUUUAAAAAUAAUAUGAUGUUUUUAUUAACCAAGUAAAAAAAUUACAAUCCCGUUUAGUCACGAAGGACGUACGCGGGUACAGAGCUAAAAGCAUGUCUAGGGAUCCGGGUUUCGAGGGAGGGUAGCGAUCGAGCACUUGAGCACGAGCUGAGAAGAAAUGCGGGGAGAACAAUAGGCUAGAGGUAACCAGGAGCUGGUGCUGCGUCAUCCCUGGUGUCUGAGUUUGUCUUCACCGACGCGGUAACGAGGUACACGUCAAGCAAAGAGCUCAUCUUUCCGCGACCUGUCACGAAAACCGACCACCCACAAUUUUUUCCAAGCACGAUCGCAUUAUCUCACAGAAUUUUCGUUGUCAAUGAGUUCUAAGAUAAUCUGCAUCACACAGCUAGUUAAUUAAAAAUAAAUCACGUCAUGGAUCGAAUACACUUAACUCUACACAAACACUUCACUCAUGGUGUCUUUCCAUGCACGUGAUUGGUGAAGAAAAAUUGCUAGUUUCCUACAUAAAAUCAGAGAUGGCACUUUGACACGUGUUCGAAAGAAGCACGUGUGGUGUAAAAUAUAGUGAAUUGCUGCUUGAUCUUUCCGCGUCGUUUCGCACCGCGCAAACGACCGUAGACACUCGGCCAAUACAUACUUAUCAAAUGCAGGCGGCAUAGUCAGUACAAAACGAUAUGUACGAAUGAGAAAAGGACAAUACGGCAAAUCACGCAAGACCAAGCGAGAUAAGAGAGAAGAACGAAAUGGGUGCCUGUACCCAUGUACGAAUAUACAUAAAUGUGUGCGCGUGCGCGUUUGCAUGUACACAUUCACAGAGCAUCCAACGUAUGUCACGACAUUACAUGGGUUGCUGCGUUUUUACGUUGCCGGAGAGCAAUGCGUACACCAUGGCGGAAGUGCGUAAGAGAACGCCGACUGCCAGAGGAAAGAAAAUAGAAAGAAUAGGGAAGAGAAGAAGAGCAGAGAAGAAAGAAAAGAAAAAGCUAAAGAAGGGAGAGAGAACGAAGGCAGAAGAGAACUCGGAUGUGCCGUGGAGCAGAGUCGUGUGAGCCGCAUAGAUCGCACGAGUGUAUUGGAAUCUGUAUUCGCCGACAUAAACGCAUCAGCUUUAUCGACGAGAGAACAACGCUUGAUAUUUUGUGAAAAAAUCGUAUCCAUUUCUCUGCUGUUAUAAAAAGGGACAAGAAUAUGAUAUAUUUGCAAAAGGAUAUCAAAUUUUGAACGAUUUGAAAAACAAGGAUUUAAAAAGAAGAGUGAGUGAGACGAGUAUCGUCCGAGCGAAUCCAAGUAGAGGCAGUAGGAAAUGGGAACUCGUAUACCCGUAUGGAAAGUACAGAGUGAACGCAUUACACGCAAGCGACGACUCGUACUCGAUGAAGAUGUAAGGGCCGCAUUGUGUCCUGCAUCGUCGAGAGAACUCGAGAAUAAAGAGAGAGAAAGAGAAAGUAGUACACAUCAUGCAGAGGAAGAGAGAAAGAGAGGGAGAGAGAGAGAGAGAGAGAGAGAGAGAGGCCGGGAACCUCUAACUACUAACGUGGGGUAGAUCUCGCCGCGGAUAGUGCUUUAUUUCAUCAAAGGGACAACAAGGAAGCCGAGAUAACGCCGCAAGCUUCACAGAAAGGAGCACUUCGGAGUGGAGGAGUAUGCGCGGCACGCACAACGGCUCGAUCAUCCAUAAUCGCGUGCAGACGCAAUAACCAGGCUCGAGAUGCAUCCUCUGCGAAAUUUCUCAAAGAGAAACGCGAUGUUUCAUCGAUAGAGGGAUGAACGAGUUGAAGAAGCGUAUAGUGUGAGAAGAUUGAAAGACUUGUUUACACUUACUCAUGCGGGUUAUCGGAAGUAUCGACUUGGAUCAUCAUACGAUCAGAGGAUUUUAUGCGGGCAAUGCAAAUUAAAUGGGUCGUGCAAAAUACGAUACUCUUUCCAUUGUGGCGUUUGUCCAUAAAUAGAUAUCUUUUAUCAUCAACGUCAGCUAAGAUCGUAUCGAUUGCCAAAGUUUGCCUGACUAAAGAGAUCGAGCGUCUCCAUUUCCGAUGAAACGGUUCUACAAUAUGGGUUCCAGAUUUCAGGGUGACGAUAGAGAGUUAGAGAGAGAGAGAGAGAGAAGGAAAGAGAACAAGAGCGUUGCUCGCUAUUGUUUUCUCGAGUGGGUACUCGCUGGUUCAAUGCUCGCCCGCUCUGGUAGACCGGUACCAGAUGUACCCGGACCGCCUGGUUUCAACUUUGAUACCGUACAACGCCAUGCGUCACGGUUACAGCACCUACCUAUCUAGCUUUCCAAAAAUUUUUUUUAUUCUUAUUCAAUAUCAAAAAUAACACCUUACCGUUUGAUAAAAAUUGAACUUUUUGUUUUAGAAAGGAUCGAUCGAGAGGAUUUUUGGAAAAUGUGAAGAUACGAAAAAAAUUCGCGGAAGAGAAUAUCGCGAAUUAAUUAAAUUAUAUUUCUAUACUUUUUUUUUUCUUUUUUUUUUUUUUUUUAUGUUCAAGUGAAUACAAUAAAAAAGUUUCCACGUGUGAUGUGCAAGUUAGUGUAUAAUGAAAAGGAUUUAUAUAUUCCUUUCGAUUGGUUGUACACGAACGAUAUGUAUACACGACGGAUAUCCGAUGAAACUGAAGUCAUGACAACAAGGCUAUAAAAUAAGGUUAAAAUUUUUUUUAACAAAAUGAGAUUAUUCAUCGUAUUGUACGUGACGAAAUCUAAUCAGGAAUGAAUAACGUUUGAAUUAAUAUUCCAUAUUAAACAACAAUUGGAUUGGAUAUAUAACCAAUGAUGUUGUAAUAUGAGAAUAUAUAAUUAAAACUGACUACGCCGAGAAUAGAUGAAUAAUCUUCACAAAGUUUAAAAUUUUUUUAUGUGAACUAAAUUGCAUUGGCUAACAAUAAUGAUACAAGAAAACAUUUAACAUGAUUACUUGAGUUUUGAUUGUACAAUUCAAUUUAUGUUAACAAAUCGCGUUCGCUUAAAGAUUGUUCCUUAUAUUUCUAUCUGAAUUUUUAUAGCCAAGGUGCAAUCUUCAGCGAUGGUUGUUAUCAUACAGUUCCUUCCUUGUGAAUAACAUGUAUAUUCACAUUAAAGUUCAUAUAAAAUUAUACUUGAUACUGCUUAUGUUCCUAAGUUAUGAAUAAUAAUUGCCAUCAUAGAUCAUAUUAUGCAUCUAUAAUAUCUAAAAAAAAAAAAGAAAAA